AGCAUAUCAAUAAGCGGAGGAAAAGAAACUAACAAGGAUUCCCCCUAGUAACUUGCGAGUGAAGCGGGAAGAAGCUUCAAAUUUGAAAUCUGGCGGCUUUCGGUCGUCCGAGUUGUAAUCUGGAGAGGCAUUUUCCGCGUUGGACCGUGUACAAGUCUCCUGGAAUGGUGCGUCAUAGAGGGUGAGAAUCCCGUCCAUGACACGGACCGCCAAUGCUCUGUGAUAUGCCUUCGAAGAGUCGCGUUGUUUGGGAAUGCAGCGCAAAAUGGGUGGUAAAUUCCAUCUAAAGCUAAAUAUCAGCGAGAGACCGAUAGCGAACAAGUACCGUGAGGGAAAGAUGAAAAGCACUUUGGAAAGAGAGUUAAACAGUACGUGAAAUUGUUGAAAGGGAAACGCUUGAAGUCAGUCGCGUUCCGCGGAACUCAGCCUUACUUCGGUUUGGUGUACUUUCCAUGUGAACGGGUCAACAUCAAUUUUGGCCGGUGGAUAAAGGCGAGGGGAACGUAGCGUCGCUUCGGUGACGUGUUAUAGCCUCUUGUUGUAUACGCCGGCUGGGAUUGAGGACCGCAGCACGCCCUUCGUGGCCGAGGGGUUCGCCUCUACGUACCGUGCUUAGGAUGUUGGCAUAAUGGCUUUAAGCGACCCGUCUUGAAACACGGACCAAGGAGUCUAACAUGCUUGCGAGUGUUCGGGUGGAAAACCCUUGCGCGUAAUGAAAGUGAAAGUUGGGAACCCUUAUUCUUUCGGGUGAGGGUGCACUGACGCCCGGCCCUGAAGUCUUCUGACGGUGCUGCGGUAGAGCAAGUAUGUUGGGACCCGAAAGAUGGUGAACUAUGCCUGAAUAGGGCGAAGCCAGAGGAAACUCUGGUGGAGGCUCGUAGCGAUUCUGACGUGCAAAUCGAUCGUCAAAUUUGGGUAUAGGGGGCGAAAGACUAAUCGAACCAUCUAGUAGCUGGUCUGCG
rnacentral:rRNA from 1 species